AUUAUAGUGAGGAUCAAAAGUUUUCUUUCUGUGUUAUUAAGUUGCAACUUAGAUUGGAUGGAUGAUUCUUCCAGGUUUUAUGGUUUUAUAAUUGAUUUCUGAUAAUCUUUUCAGGUUCUUCAUGCCUAAUUAGAUUUCAUAGCAGCUAUCUUAAACAUCUGACCAACAUGCUUCUUCGUUUUAAAAACCCUAGAAUUUUAUAACCGUCUGAUUCAAUUGACCCUAAUUCGUUUGUUGUCUCGACGUUGAUAGAUAUUUUAUGGAAUCCUUUAAAACAACCUCUAGAUAAAAAGGAAAUUGAUCCGAAUUUCUUUGUUGUCUCAACUUUGAUAUGUAUUUUAUGGAAUCCCUUUAAACAACCUCUAGAUAAUAAGGAAUUAGUGUUUAAUUUCUUUAAUAUAAUUAUUACAUGUCAUGGUAGGUUUGUCAGUAUCAAAUUCUGAUACACAAAUUGUUCUUCAAUUGCGUCAAAAUGUGGGUCUAGGCCCCUUGCUGCAAAUAAUGGGGAUAACUAUAUCCAGUGCUUUAAAUUUGGAGAUGCAUUAUUUGGCAGUUAAGGAAAAUGGGAGGUGGAAAAGACCAGCAUAACUCAAGUGACAAGGGGUUGAUGUCGAACCUGGGCUCAUGGAUCAGCUGGAGCUGCAGGAGGACAUGGAGCCUGGAGGGCAUUCAAAUUACCCUCCCGGGAAUUAUCCUCCCCAACAAGGGGGAUACCCUCCGGCACCAGGUGGUUACCCCUCAACAAGAGUACCCUCCUGCAAUCCUUCAACCAGGUGGUUACCCCUUAAGUCUGCCUAUCAGCUUAGAAAUUGCGCUUUGUCUGUUUUUGGAGGCUCGUCAGCAACAAAUUUAUGUUCUCUAUGCAAUAAUGUGUUGGAAUCUGGUACUCACCUCUUCUGGAAUUGUCGGUUCACUCAUCAAGUUUGGGCUUACUUUUUCGCUCAAGCAUAUGUGCAGUUUCCUACUUUCUCAUCCAUGUUAAACUUGUUUAAGAACUGGUCAUCUGUGGCCACUCAAAAUAAUGGGAAGAAGAUAUGGAAGAGGAUCCCUGUCAGCGUUUGUUGGAACGUUUGGAACGAGAAAAAUGCCCGCACUUUUAAUGGCAAGAAACGCACUGUGGAGGCUAUCAUUGCUGAUUCUAAAAUCGGCGUUUUUCAUUAGGCUGCUAAGAAUUUAACCUGUACAAAUCUUUUGCAUCAUGAUGUGAUUUCCAACUGGAAAGGUCUGUUCUUUGACCCUCCCUAGUCUUUCCUUGGAUUUUGAUUUUCUUUGUUGUGUUUUCUUUUACCCUUGGUGGCUUCUACUUUGCAGAGUUUGUAAAUUGUUUUUUUCUUAAUAUAUUUCUAUUUACCGAGCAAAAAAAAAAAAAGAGUACCCUCCUGCUGGAUACUUUCCACACCACAAGUACAUACCCACCUGCUGGAUAUCCCGGUUCAUCUGCUCCAUAUCAUGGAGACUAUGGACAGUGGCAGUGGAAGAAUGGGGGCCAUGAGAGGAAUUCCAGCUGAGGGUGCUGCAGCAGUGGCUUCUGCCUAUGG